AUGUCUCUGAAUCGAAGCUGGCAGUUUACUGAAGCUGUUGGUUUCAAGCGGGAGCCUAAAGUCAUAUGUUUCUAUGGUCUUUUGGCCACUUCAGAACUUUAGAAAUGUAAUGGUCAGUUUGUUAGAAAGAAGCAACC
ensembl:snoRNA small nucleolar RNA SNORA2/SNORA34 family